rnacentral:rRNA from 1 species
CCUACGGGUGGCUGCAGUGGGGAAUAGUGGGCAAGGGGCGCAAGCCUGACCCAGCAACGCCGCGUGAAGGAAGAAGGCUUUCGGGUUGUAAACUUCUUUUGUCAGGGAAGAGGAGAAGACGGUACCUGACGAAUAAGCCACGGCUAACUACGUGCCAGCAGCCGCGGUAAUACGUAGGUGGCAAGCGUUGUCCGGAUUUACGGGGUGUAAAGGGCGUGUAGCCGGGUUGACAAGUCAGAUGUGAAAUCCUGCGGCUUAACCGCAGAACGGCCUUUGAAACUGUUGAUCUUGAGUACUGGAGCGGCAGCUGGCCUUCCUAGUGUAGCGGUGCAAUUCGUAGAUCUUAGGCGGCACCCCAGUGGCGACGGCGGUCUGCUGGACAGCACCUGCCGGUGCGGCGCUCAAGCGUGGGGAGCACAC